rnacentral:rRNA from 1 species
UACAGAGGUCUCAAGCGUUGUUCGGAUUCAUUGGGCGUAAAGGGUGCGUAGGUGGGUCUGUAAGUCAGUGGUGAAAUCUCCGAGCUUAACUCGGAAACUGCCAUUGAUACUAUAGGUCUUGAAUUAUCUGGAGGUGAGCGGAAUAUGUCAUGUAGCGGUGAAAUGCUUAGAUAUGACAUAGAACACCAAUUGCGAAGGCAGCUCACUACGGAUAUAUUGACACUGAGGCACGAAAGCGUGGGGAGCAAACAGG